rnacentral:rRNA from 2 species
GACGAACCGUGCGAACGUUGUUCGGAAUCACUGGGCUUAAAGGGCGCGUAGGCGGGCUGUCAAGUCUGGGGUGAAAUCCCACGGCUCAACCGUGGAACUGCCUCGGAUACUGACGGCCUCGAGGGGGGUAGGGGCGUGCGGAACUGUGGGUGGAGCGGUGAAAUGCGUUGAUAUCCACAGGAACUCCGGUGGCGAAGGCGGCACGCUGGACCUCUUCUGACGCUGAGGCGCGAAAGCCAGGGGAGCAAACGGG